AGCAGUCGCCGCGGUAAAACGUAGGUGGCAAGCGUUGUCCGGAAUUAUUGGGCGUAAAGGGCUCGCAGGCGGUUUCUUAAGUCUGAUGUGAAAGCCCCCGGCUCAACCGGGGAGGGUCAUUGGAAACUGGGAAACUUGAGUGCAGAAGAGGAGAGUGGAAUUCCACGUGUAGCGGUGAAAUGCGUAGAGAUGUGGAGGAACACCAGUGGCGAAGGCGACUCUCUGGUCUGUAACUGACGCUGAGGAGCGAAAGCGUGGGGAGCGAACAGGAUUAGAUACCCCGGUAGUCCCUGUCUCUUAUAC
rnacentral:rRNA from 1 species